CAGAGGAGUCGAGCUGUCGCUGUCAGCUGAUCGUGUUGUCUUCUCCGUCACGUCAUUAAACCAACUAUAUCAAGAUGUCUUACGCUUAUUUAUUUAAGUACAUCAUUAUCGGAGACACGGGUGUUGGGAAGUCAUGCCUCUUGCUCCAGUUCACAGACAAGCGCUUCCAGCCAGUCCACGACCUCACCAUCGGAGUGGAGUUUGGUGCAGGCAUGAUCACCAUCGAUAACAAACAAAUCAAACUUCAGAUCUGGGACACAUAGCAUAGGGUGCAUAGUGGUGGGGGACUGAUUGUGGCUGACAUUUAUGGGCUCUUGUGAUAAGAUGGACAUCAUGUUGAAUGACGUAGCUACUUUGAGAUAAGAGGAUUAAAUUAGGAUAUUUUA